rnacentral:miRNA from 3 species
GCAUUGUGUGACCUACUUAAAU